AUCGGAAUUACUGGGCGUAAAGAGUGCGCAGACGGAUAUAUAAGUUAGAUGUGAAAUCCCCGAGCUUAACUUGGGAACAGCAUUUAAGACUGUAUGUCUAGAGUUUGUCAGAGGGAGGUAGAAUUCCAAGUGUAGCAGUGAAAUGCGUAGAUAUUUGGAGGAAUACCAGUGGCGUAGGCGACCUCCUGGGAUAAAACUGACGUUCAGGCACGAAAGCGUGGGUAGCAAACAGGAUUAGAUACCCUGGUAGUCCACGCCCUAAACGAUGUCUACUUGCUGUUGGGAAGAUAUUCUUAGUAGCGAAGCUAACGCGAGAAGUAGACCGCCUGGGGAGUACGGUCGCAAGAUUAAAACUCAAAGGAAUUGACGGGGACCCGCACAAGCGGUGGAUGAUGUGGAUUAAUUCGAUGCAACGCGAAAAACCUUACCUGCUCUUGACAUGCUAGGAAGAUUUCAGAGAUGAGAUUGUGCCGCAAGGAACCUAAACACAGGUGCUGCAUGGCUGUCGUCAGCUCGUGUCGUGAGAUGUUGUCUUAAGUGACGCAACGAGCGCAACCCUUACUACUAGUUGCCCCAAUUAAGUUUGGCACUCUAGUGGGACUGCCGGCGAUAAGCCGGAGGAAGGUGGGGAUGACGUCAAGUCCUCAUGGCCCUUAUGAGCAGGGCUUCACACGUCAUACAAUGGUAGGUACAGACGGUUGCCAAGCCGCGAGGUGGAGCUAAUCCGAGAAAGCCUAUCGUAGUCCGGAUUGCACUCUGCAACUCGAGUGCAUGAAGUCGGAAUCGCUAGUAAUCGCAGAUCAGCAUGCUGCGGUGAAUACGUU
rnacentral:rRNA from 1 species